rnacentral:rRNA from 1 species
GAUGAACGCUGGCGGCGUGCCUAAUACAUGCAAGUCGAGCGAACGGACGAGCAUCUUGCUUCUCUGAUGUUGGCGGCGGACGGGUGAGUAACACGUGGAUAACCUACCUAUAAGACUGGAAUAACUUCUGAAAACCGGAGCUUAUACCGGAUGAUCUUUUGAACCGCAUGGUUCAAACGUGAAAGACGGUCUUGCUGUCACUGAUAGAUGGAUCCGCGCUGCAUUAUCUAGUUGGUAAGGUAACGGUGUACCACGACAACGAUGCAUAGCCGACGUGAGAGGGAGAGCGGCCACGCUGGAACUGAGACAGGGACCAGACUCCUACGGGAGGCAGAAGUAGCGGAUGGGAAGCAAUGGCAGAAAGCCGGACGGUGCAACGGCGCGGGAGUGAUGAAGGUGUUCGGAUCGUAAUACUCUGCUACUAGGGACGAAGAUAUGUGUACGUAACUGUGCAGAUCUUGACGGUAGUUAAUCAGAAAGCCACGGCUAACUACGUG